rnacentral:lncRNA from 1 species
AAGACAUUUAGUUGAGAUAGUUGCCAGCAACUUUAAAAGAUACAGAUUUUGAAUGGUAUAUUCAGCAACCAAUGGAUAGAUUUCCCAAUCGGAAGGCCUUAAGGAAUGCAUUCCUAACUCAUUUUAGACCAAUUGGAUUUGAAGAUCGGCUUCGAGAAAGUUUUAUGAAUAGCAAGAUGUUUGCAUAGGAAUCAAUGGAGUCUUAUUAU